GGGGUACCGCCUGAAGGCGGCCAGGAGCAUUCCCGCCGGGUCUGCAGGACCGAAAAGGGUGUAACGGUAGCCCGGACUGGAAAUGUGCUGACUACACACAGGCCGGAAGGCACAAACUAGCAAAGUAGUGAACGACUUAGAGAGCAUCCAAACGUAUUUACAAAAGGGAAAACUGAGGCCCAGCGUCCCUGCGUGAGCUAAGAGGAGGCGACAGAUGCAGCACUCGAUCGCCUCUGGUCCAGCCGAGACGACGGAGACGACGGUCGCUAGGCCUGGGGAGAGGGGCUCCGGUGACCAGAGGGCCAUAGGAUGUCCGGCGACCGGCCCGCCCCUUCAGACCCGCCAUGGGACCUCCUCCCUCUCCUUCCCAGUGUGUCUAUUCCUAAACAAGAAGAAAUGGGGUCUGCUCACCCAGUGCCACAGCGACGAGCAGGAGCAGAGGCUUCAUGGUGCUACGAUCUCUCCUACCAAGUCUUUUCUUCCCCUUUCACUUUCAUUUUCCUUCUAAGGCUGGGGUGAGGAACUGGAAAUUCCCCGAUCUGGUCAGGUGAGGGCGUGACUG
ensembl:antisense Gm19412 predicted gene, 19412